rnacentral:rRNA from 1 species
CCUACGGGAGGCAGCAGUGAGGACUAUUGGUCAAUGGACGAGAGUCUGAACCUGCCAAGUAGCGUGAAGGAUGACUGCCCUAUGGGUUGUAACCUUCUUUUAUAAAGGAAUAAAACGAGGCACGUGUGCCUUAUUGCAUGUACUUUAUGAAUACGGAUCGGCUAACUCCGUGCCAGCAGCCGCGGUAAUACGGAGGAGCCGAGCGUUGGCCGGAUUUAUUGGGUUUAAAGGGCGCGUAGAUGGGUUGUUAAGUCAGUUGUGAAAGUUUGCGGCGCAACCGGAAAAUUGCAAUUGAUACUGGCAGUCUUGAGUACAGUUGAGGUAGGCGGAAUUCGUGGUGUAGCGGUGAAAUGCUUAGAUAUCACGAAGAACCCCGAUUGCGAAGGCAGCUUACUAAACUGUGACUGACAUUGAUGCUCGAAAGUGUGGGUAUCAAACAGGAUUAGAUACCCUAGUAGUC